rnacentral:lncRNA from 1 species
AGGCCUCCGGCAAGAGUUGCCAAGAGUGUGCAGAGAAACAUGGCAGCUGCUGGAGAGGAAGGCACAGAUGUUGCGGUGGGCCGGCCCGCAGAUGAGAGGCACUUUAAAGUCAAGUGCGGUGUACACUGACCAUCAGCUUUCCUUCUGGGCGUCUGGAACGUUGGCAUAUGCCAGACAGAAGGUACCUGUGUGGCCAGCUUCUAGGAGAAACUCUGAACACUACCUCUGAUGGGUUUGUUCUCUGGAUGACGCUGCUUCCCACCUGUGGCCGCAGUUAAGGCUGAAGGAGUUCAGUGCAUGUGAUUGACUCCACCAAGAGAGGACUCUUAGAAACUUGUGCCCGGUUUCCCACGUGCCUUUCGCUUUUUCCUGGUUUUGCUGAGUUUUCUUUCAUUGUGGUCAUCGGAGCCGUGUAUACUACUAUGUGCUGCGACCCAGGGAUCUUCCCACCAGCUCACCUUCUACCAAGCCUGGGGGUGGCCUUGGGGACCUCCAUGCUCAUGGACCUUAAAGUGACUGAGAGCAAAUGAGGCCACAGUGCAGUGUAGUCCCUCGGUGCUAACUCACGGCAACACAGGUUUCAGUUCGUCUGUUUGUGCUAAGAGGCCCUUGAGCUUAAAUGUGGAGACUAUUGCUUCCUUAGCGCACAUGUCCCCACCAGCCACACAGAGAAUCCGGAAGUUGCCCUGUCCAUUGAGAGGCCAGAUCACUCGUGGUCCAGGUUUAAAAAAAAAUCUGCAAGGAAUGAUGGGCUCGACAUUCCAGAAUAAGAAGGGAAUUUUCUGAAACAGAAUUUGGCUGGCGCGCUUUCUCAUCAGGGCAAUUCUGGCAGCGAGAGUCUUUAGCAAAUGAGGUUGCAGAUUCCCUAGAGCUGUGUCAGAGUCUGAUAUAGGUUAGGAAAAAAAUUAUGGAUGGAGGAAGGAUCACUGGAGAGGAAAUGUAAGGUCUUAACCUCAGCAUCUUUAGACUGUUGAUGUGACCUUUGAAACCACAUCGCUUUUCCUGAAUGCCUUGGGAAAGCAUUCUGUUCAGAAUAGUUCUGUUCUAGGGGGUGGGGGCAAAGUCUUGCACCCUUAGUGGCGAGCACUGUGCAUCUGUAAGUCAGCAGAGAAGAGUAUGAACUCUGGCGUGUGGUUGUCGUAUCUCCCAUGGGCCAUGAGAACACAAAUCACAGAUCUGACCCCUUAAGCAGCUCUCUCGCCCACUUGCAAGUGGUCCUGGUGGUCCCG